GUCCAUUCUUACUGUGGCACAAUGGGUCAGUGUGCCUGGCUGUUAACCAGAAGGUUGGGGGUUCAAGCCCACACAGGGACA
rnacentral:tRNA from 1 species